rnacentral:lncRNA from 1 species
AUGUUCUCUGUUUUCAUUAUUGACUAUAAAUCUUACUUAUUGCUGGGUCAAGUGGGAUACUUUGAUCAUAACACAGGGGCACAUGGUAAGACGACAUUCCCCAGUAUUCACAGCUGGAAUGACACGAUGUCUGGGAUUGGCUUUAAAAUAAUCGUAGAGGCGGGAGGGAGCUGCUCAUGGAUUAAACACUGGCCACGUGGACAGAUGACUGCUGAAAAUGGGCGAUGCCUUCACGACAGUCUAUUAACCCACCUGCACAUGUGCGUGAGGAUGCGCGAUGCCUUCACUACACUAUCAACCCACCUGCACAUGUGCGUGAGGAUGCGCGAUGCCUUCACUACACUAUCAACCCACCUGCACAUGUGCGUGAGGAUGCGCGAUGCCUUCACUACACUAUUAACCCACCUGCACAUGUGCGUGAGGAUGCGCGAUGCCUUCACUACACUAUCAACCCACCUGCACAUGUGCGUGAGGAUGCGCGAUGCCUUCACUACACUAUCAACCCACCUGCACAUGUGCGUGAGGAUGCGCGAUGCCUUCACACUAUUAACCCACCUGCACAUGUGCGUGAGGAUGCGUGAUGCCUUCACUACACUGUCAACCCACCUGCACAUGUGCGUGAGGAUGCGCGAUGCAUUCACUACACUGUCAACCCACCUGCACAUGUGCGUGAGGAUGCGUGAUGCCUUCACUACACUAUCAACCCACCUGCACAUGUGCGUGAGGAUGCGCGAUGCCUUCACACUAUUAACCCACCUGCACAUGUGCGUGAGGAUGCGUGAUGCCUUCACUACACUGUCAACCCACCUGCACAUGUGCGUGAGGAUGCGCGAUGCCUUCACACUAUUAACCCACCUGCACAUGUGCGUGAGGAUGCGCGAUGCAUUCACUACACUAUCAACCCACCUGCACAUGUGCGUGAGGAUGCGCGAUGCAUUCACUACACUGUCAACCCACCUGCACAUGUGCGUGAGGAUGCGCGAUGCCUUCACACUAUCAACCCACCUGCACAUGUGCGUGAGGAUGCGCGAUGCCUUCACUACACUGUUAACCCACCUGCACAUGUGCGUGAGGAUGCGCGAUGCCUUCACUACACUGUUAACCCACCUGCACAUGUGCGUGAGGAUGCGCGAUGCCUUCACACUAUUAACCCACCUGCACAUGUGCGUGAGGAUGCGCGAUGCCUUCACUACACUAUCAACCCACCUGCACAUGUGCGUGAGGAUGCGCGAUGCCUUCACUACACUAUUAACCCACCUGCGUAUGUGCGUGAGGAUGCGCGAUGCCUUCACUACACUAUUAACCCACCUGCGUAUGUGCGUGAGGAUGCGCGAUGCCUUCACUACACUCUUAACCCCCCUGCACAUGUGCGUGAGGAUGCGCGAUGCCUUCACACUAUUAACCCACCUGCACAUGUGCGUGAGGAUGCGCGAUGCCUUCACUACACUGUUAACCCACCUGCAAAUGUGCGUGAGGAUGCGCGAUGCCUUCACUACACUGUCAACCCACCUGCACAUGUGCGUGAGGAUGCGCGAUGCCUUCACUACACUAUCAACCCACCUGCACAUGUGCGUGAGGAUGCGCGAUGCCUUCACACUAUUAACCCACCUGCACAUGUGCGUGAGGAUGCGUGAUGCCUUCACUACACUAUCAACCCACCUGCACAUGUGCGUGAGGAUGCGCGAUGCCUUCACUACACUAUUAAUCCACCUGCACAUGUGCGUGAGGAUGCGCAAUGCAUUCACUACACUAUCAACCCACCUGCACAUGUACGUGAGGAUGCGCGAUGCCUUCACUACACUAUCAACCCACCUGCACAUGUGCGUGAGGAUGCGCGAUGCCUUCACUACACUAUUAACCCACCUGCACAUGUGCGUGAGGAUGCGCGAUGCCUUCACACUAUUAACCCACCUGCACAUGUGCGUGAGGAUGCGCGAUGCAUUCACUACACUAUCAACCCACCUGCACAUGUGCGUGAGGAUGCGCGAUGCCUUCACACUAUUAACCCACCUGCACAUGUGCGUGAGGAUGCGUGAUGCCUUCACUACACUGUUAACCCACCUGCACAUGUGCGUGAGGAUGCGCGAUGCCUUCACUACACUAUCAACCCACCUGCACAUGUGCGUGAGGAUGCGCGAUGCCUUCACUACACUAUCAACGAACCUGCACAUGUGCGUGAGGAUGCGCGAUGCCUUCACUACACUAUUAACCCACCUGCACAUGUGCGUGAGGAUGCGCGAUGCCUUCACUACACUAUCAACCCACCUGCACAUGUGCGUGAGGAUGCGCGAUGCCUUCACUACACUAUCAACCCACCUGCACAUGUGCGUGAGGAUGCGCGAUGCCUUCACUACACUAUUAACCCACCUGCACAUGUGCGUGAGGAUGCGCGAUGCAUUCACUACACUAUUAACCCACCUGCACAUGUGCGUGAGGAUGCGCGAUGCAUUCACUACACUAUUAACCCACCUGCACAUGUGCGUGAGGAUGCGCGAUGCCUUCACUACACUAUCAACCCACCUGCACAUGUACGUGAGGAUGCGCGAUGCCUUCACUACACUAUCAACCCACCUGCACAUGUACGUGAGGAUGCGCGAUGCCUUCACACUAUUAACCCACCUGCACAUGUGCGUGAGGAUGCGCGAUGCCUUCACUACACUAUCAACCCACCUGCACAUGUGCGUGAGGAUGCGCGAUGUCUUCACUACACUAUCAACCCACCUGCACAUGUACGUGAGGAUGCGCGAUGCCUUCACACUAUUAACCCACCUGCACAUGUGCGUGAGGAUGCGUGAUGCCUUCACUACACUGUUAACCCACCUGCACAUGUGCGUGAGGAUGCGCGAUGCCUUCACUACACUAUCAACCCACCUGCACAUGUGCGUGAGGAUGCGCGAUGCCUUCACUACACUAUUAACCCACCUGCACAUGUGCGUGAGGAUGCGCGAUGCAUUCACUACACUAUUAACCCACCUGCACAUGUGCGUGAGGAUGCGCGAUGCAUUCACUACACUAUUAACCCACCUGCACAUGUGCGUGAGGAUGCGCGAUGCCUUCACUACACUAUUAACCCACCUGCACAUGUGCGUGAGGAUGCGCGAUGCAUUCACUACACUAUUAAUCCACCUGCACAUGUGCGUGAGGAUGCGCGAUGCCUUCACUACACUAUCAACCCACCUGCACAUGUACGUGAGGAUGCGCGAUGCCUUCACACUAUUAACCCACCUGCACAUGUGCGUGAGGAUGCGCGAUGCCUUCACUACACUAUUAACCCACCUGCACAUGUGCGUGAGGAUGCGCGAUGCCUUCACACUAUUAACCCACCUGCACAUGUGCGAGAGGAUGCGCGAUGCCUUCACACUAUUAACCCACCUGCACAUGUGCGUGAGGAUGCGCGAUGCCUUCACUACACUAUCAACCCACCUGCACAUGUGCGUGAGGAUGCGCGAUGUCUUCACUACACUAUCAACCCACCUGCACAUGUACGUGAGGAUGCGCGAUGCCUUCACACUAUUAACCCACCUGCACAUGUGCGUGAGGAUGCGUGAUGCCUUCACUACACUGUUAACCCACCUGCACAUGUGCGUGAGGAUGCGCGAUGCCUUCACUACACUAUUAACCCACCUGCACAUGUGCGUGAGGAUGCGCGAUGCCUUCACUACACUAUUAACCCACCUGCACAUGUGCGUGAGGAUGCGCGAUGCAUUCACUACACUAUUAACCCACCUGCACAUGUGCGUGAGGAUGCGCGAUGCAUUCACUACACUAUUAACCCACCUGCACAUGUGCGUGAGGAUGCGCGAUGCCUUCACUACACUAUUAACCCACCUGCACAUGUGCGUGAGGAUGCGCGAUGCAUUCACUACACUAUUAAUCCACCUGCACAUGUGCGUGAGGAUGCGCGAUGCCUUCACUACACUAUCAACCCACCUGCACAUGUACGUGAGGAUGCGCGAUGCCUUCACACUAUUAACCCACCUGCACAUGUGCGUGAGGAUGCGCGAUGCCUUCACUACACUAUUAACCCACCUGCACAUGUGCGUGAGGAUGCGCGAUGCCUUCACACUAUUAACCCACCUGCACAUGUGCGAGAGGAUGCGCGAUGCCUUCACACUAUUAACCCACCUGCACAUGUGCGUGAGGAUGCGUGAUGCCUUCACUACACUGUUAACCCACCUGCACAUGUGCGUGAGGAUGCGCGAUGCCUUCACUACACUAUCAACCCACCUGCACAUGUGCGUGAGGAUGCGCGAUGCCUUCACUACACUAUCAACCCACCUGCACAUGUGCGUGAGGAUGCGCGAUGCCUUCACUACACUAUUAACCCACCUGCACAUGUGCGUGAGGAUGCGCGAUGCCUUCACUACACUAUCAACCCACCUGCACAUGUGCGUGAGGAUGCGCGAUGCCUUCACUACACUAUCAACCCACCUGCACAUGUACGUGAGGAUGCGCGAUGCAUUCACUACACUAUUAACCCACCUGCACAUGUGCGUGAGGAUGCGCGAUGCCUUCACUACACUAUCAACCCACCUGCACAUGUGCGUGAGGAUGCGCGAUGCCUUCACUACACUAUUAACCCACCUGCACAUGUGCGUGAGGAUGCGCGAUGCAUUCACUACACUAUUAACCCACCUGCACAUGUGCGUGAGGAUGCGCGAUGCAUUCACUACACUAUUAAUCCACCUGCACAUGUGCGUGAGGAUGCGCGAUGCCUUCACUACACUAUCAACCCACCUGCACAUGUACGUGAGGAUGCGCGAUGCCUUCACUACACUAUCAACCCACCUGCACAUGUACGUGAGGAUGCGCGAUGCCUUCACACUAUUAACCCACCUGCACAUGUGCGUGAGGAUGCGCGAUGCCUUCACUACACUAUCAACCCACCUGCACAUGUGCGUGAGGAUGCGCGAUGUCUUCACUACACUAUCAACC